UGGAGGCAAAUUAGGUAUAUAUAAUAACAUCUCGUUUACGUGUUCUCUAUCACAAUCUAUUCUGUCCAGCACGAUGCUUAAGGUUGUCUGUCUGUGUCUUCUCGUCUUGGCCGUCUGCGGCCCCGUCAUACUCGCAGGGCCCAUUGAGGAACAAUUUUACCAACCGGAUCUCGAUCCCGAGUCGUCCAAUUGGCACUACAGACGACAUGUUUAUCGUGCCCGUACAACCCAAAGGCCCAACGUGAACAAAGAUGGAAACCAGCGCUUCUUUGGAGGUGCUUAUCGCCCUGGCUACGGAGCUUUCAAGGGCUAGAAUGAAGCUCAGAAUUUUAUUAUUGACAAUCAGAAUAUGUUUUACGUUAUUAUUUUGUGUAAUCGAACUCAACAACACCUCAGCAUCAUCUUUAAUAACAAUAGUAUUUAAAAAACCGCUUUUAUACCAAUUAUUCUGAGCUGAAAUAAAAUUUUUGUGUUACAAA